AUUGAACGCUGGCGGCAGGCUUAACACAUGCAAGUCGAACGAGUGGCGGACGGGUGAGUAAUGCUUGGGAAUCUGGCUUAUGGAGGGGGAUAACGACGGUAAACUGUCGCUAAUACCGCGUACCAUAGGAUGAGCCCAAGUGGGAUUAGGUGGUUGGUGGGGUAAAGGCCUACCAAGCUGACGAUCUCUAGCUGGUCUGAGAGGAUGACCGGCCAUACCGGGACGGAGAGACGGCUCAGACUCCUGCGGGAGGCAGCAGUGGGGGAAAUGGCACAAUGGGCGAAAGCCUGAUGCAGGGACGCCGCGUGGGGGAUGAAGUCGUUCGGGUUGUAAACCUAUUUCGCUAGCGAACGGGUAGGUGGAGAAGAAGCGCCGGCUAACUACGUGCCAGCAGCCGCGGUAAUAC
rnacentral:rRNA from 1 species